rnacentral:rRNA from 1 species
GAUGAACGCUGGCGGCGUGCCUAACACAUGCAAGUCGAACGAAGCAAUCAACUUGGAGAUUCGUCAAAGAGAUGGUUGACUUAGUGGCGGACGGGUGAGUAAUGUAUGAGCAACCUGCCUUUCAGUGGGGGACAACAGUUGGAAACGACUGCUAAUACCGCAUAAUGUAUCGAGGGGGCAUCCCCAUGAUACCAAAGGAGAAAUUCGCUGAAAGAUGGGCUCAUAUCUGAUUAGUUAGUUGGUGAGGUAACGGCUCACCAAGACUGCGAUCAGUAGCCGGACUGAGAGGUCGAACGGCCACAUUGGGACUGAGAUACGGCCCAGACUCCUACGGGAGGCAGCAGUGGGGAAUAUUGGGCAAUGGGCGAAAGCCUGACCCAGCAACGCCGCGUGAAGGAAGAAGGUCUUCGGAUUGUAAACUUCUUUUAUGAGGGACGAAGGAAGUGACGGUACCUCAUGAAUAAGCCACGGCUAACUACGUGCCAGCAGCCGCGGUAACAC